rfam:Caenorhabditis elegans chromosome V
GGGAACUUGAGGUAGGCUCAGUAGAUGCGAAUUGAACGGUAUCUCACAUCCACCAGCCUAGCUCGCAUUCCC